UACGUAGGGGGCAAGCGUUAUCCGGAUUUACUGGGUGUAAAGGGAGCGUAGACGGCUUUGCAAGCCAGAUGUGAAAGCCCGGGGCUCAACCCCGGGACUGCAUUUGGAACUGCGUGGCUAGAGUGUCGGAGAGGCAGGCGGAAUUCCUAGUGUAGCGGUGAAAUGCGUAGAUAUUAGGAGGAACACCAGUGGCGAAGGCGGCCUGCUGGACGAUGACUGACGUUGAGGCUCGAAAGCGUGGGGAGCGAACAGG
rnacentral:rRNA from 1 species